rnacentral:rRNA from 1 species
UACGAGGGGGGGCAAGCGUUGUUCGGAAUUAUUGGGCGUAAAGGGCGCGUAGGCGGUUUGGCAAGUUUCGUGUGAAAUCUUCGGGCUCAACUCGAAGUCUGCACGGAAAACUGCCGGGCUUGAGUAUGGGAGAGGUGAGUGGAAUUUCCGGUGUAGCGGUGAAAUGCGUAGAUAUCGGAAGGAACACCUGUGACGAAAGCGGCUCACUGGACCAUUACUGACGCUGAGGCGCGAAAGCUAGGGUAGCAAACAGG